GGUUUGGUGAUGGUGAUGUGUUUGUAGAUCUUACUUUACUGAACAUUCUUGCUGCAUACAAUUAUCUCUAUCUAUAAUGAACUUGACCCAGUAGUUACAGUGGAAAAUGUUAGUAAAAUUUUACAAAUUUUUGUGAAAAUUGUUAAAAAAAAAAAUGACUAUAUAAAGGGCAAUAACUCCUUAGGGGUCAAUUGACCAUUUUG
rnacentral:lncRNA from 1 species